ACCUGUUAUCAGCUACCUGAGUGCCUGCCCCAUCCCGAUGAGCUACCUGCUUUAUCUAAGUCUUUCUGAGAAUCAGUGUAGGGUAUUGGCACAGGGGCUGUAAGGGGAAUGAUCGGAAAGAGCUUUGCCAUAGAAGAGAGCAACUGGGAGUGCUGAGAUUAGACUUCACUUUUGAGGGUGAGAAGGUGUGACUGCGACUGAACUGGACUCCAAGAGGCUCUGAGAAGGACUUUUGGGUGUUGGAGUUGAAGAUAUGGAGGUGGAACUAUAUCAACACAAAGGCAGCAACUCAGAGAUUUGUAACUACACACCCUUGGGGUGAAUGGAUGCGUCCAUGUGAGACUGCAUAGUGAAUAGGAGGAGGACAGGGAGAAGCCAGGCGUGGUGGCUCUUACCUGUAGCCUCAUCAGACUUGGGAGGUGGAGGCAGGAGGAUCACAGCUUCAAGGCCAGUCUUGGCUGUAUAGCUGGGCCACAAACGCACAAGCAAACCAACCAAUAAAAU